ensembl:lncRNA
CACUCCUGGCAGAGGCUGUCCAUUAUUGCUCCAAAUAAAAGAAAGUUGAGAGCUAUGUUUCAGGUGUUUAUUGCUAAAUCAGCUUCGGGCAGCUGUCUCCAGUCCACUUCCCACCCCUUCCACUCAAGUCUGCCUGGAUCGGCACGAAACACAACUAAGAAGAAAAGAAGCGGAAAAAACCCCCACAGCAGAUGUUUGGUCACUGAAGGUGGUGGAGCUGAUUUUAUCAUAUUUCUCAGUAUUCUCUCCUUUUUGCUGUCUUCAUGGAGCUGAACGUUUAUCUCUAGCACAUAAUUUGUUGAGCCUCACUCAUUUGGAAAAAGCAUACCAUAGACAGAGAGUUACAGAGAAAGGCUUAGCCACCUGUGGAGGCCAAGACCAACUCUCUUAACUUGAUUCGUGUUCCUUUCGCCUUGAAACGAGCAUGACUUCCUGCCAAAACAGCCUCAGAAUCUAUUACUGAGCAGCAACAAGUAGGUGAGACCCAGGUAAUAAUUUUAGGUACUGUACUAGGUUUCCAAGAAGUUUUGGUUCCAGGAAUGUUGAAUCGGUCAAUAUUUCUGGGUGUACUGAGCACGUUUUUACAUUGCUAUAACGUUUUAAGUAAUAGAAAUGAAAAGAUACGCUAAAAUAUUUAAUAAUACAAUAACAAUGUAAAUGUUUUCCAUAAUGGGUGGCGCGGUGGCUCGGUGGUUAGCACGUUUGCCUCGUACCUCCAGGGUUGGGGGUUUGAUUCCCGCCUUUGCCCUGUGUACCUGGAGUUUACAUGUUUUCCUUGUGCUUCGGGGGUUUCCUCCAGGUACUUUGGUUUCCUCCUUAAAUUCAAAAACAUGCACAGUAGGCUGAUUGGCAUCUCUAAAUUGUCUGUAGUGUGUGAAUGUGUGUGAUUGUGCCCUGCGAUGGGUUGGAACUCCGUCCAGGGUGUUCCCUGCUUUGUGCCCCAAGUUCCCCGGGAUAGGCUCUAGGCUCCUUAUGACCCUGUGUAGGAAAAAUGGUACAGAAAAUGGAUAGAUGAAUGGAUGUUUCCAUAAUAAUACUAGAAGCACAAUAUUCUUUCAGAAAUAUAUGCUAUUUCUGAACUGUUGCAAUCUGAAUUUUUAGUACCUGAUGUCUAUUUACUGAAUGUUCUAAUAACAAGUCACACAGUCUCUCUGUUCCUCUCACCUUUCACACAAAUUUUCCAUCUUGUUUCAGAUCCAGCCUAUGGGCAUUACAUUUUAUACCAUGUCCCAUAGGCCUACAUUGCUAUAAAGACUUAAUUAAUAUUUCCUCCAGUCUAGUUUACUCACUACCCCUUCA